GACGAACCGUGCGAACGUUGUUCGGAAUCACUGGGCUUAAAGGGCGCGUAGGCGGGUUCGAAAGUCUGUGGUGAAAGCCUCCAGCUUAACCGGAGAAGUGCCAUGGAUACUGCGAACCUGGAGGAGGGUAGGGGCAUCUGGAACGCUGGGUGGAGCGGUGAAAUGCGUUGAUAUCCAGCGGAACUCCGGUGGCGAAGGCGAGGUGCUGGACCCUCUCUGACGCUGAGGCGCGAAAGCCAGGGGAGCAAACGGG
rnacentral:rRNA from 1 species